rnacentral:rRNA from 1 species
UACAGAGGUCUCAAGCGUUGUUCGGAUUCAUUGGGCGUAAAGGGUGCGUAGGCGGCGCGGUAAGUCGGGUGUGAAAUCUCGGAGCUUAACUCCGAAACUGCAUUCGAUACUGCCGUGCUUGAGGACUGGAGAGGAGACUGGAAUUUACGGUGUAGCGGUGAAAUGCGUAGAUAUCGUAAGGAAGACCAGUGGCGAAGGCGGGUCUCUGGACCGUUCCUGACGCUGAGGCACGAAGGUCAGGGGAGCAAACGGG